UGUGUCCGAGUCGUUCCGUCGUCAACAUCCCCCCACCAGUACCUCCAAAAUCCUCUUCAACGAAAACCCCCUUCACUGUGAAUUUUCUUCUGCUUCUUUCACGUUGAAACCCUCAAUCCCCUCACAUCGUGACCUUUCUUGUUCUUCACUGGGAAGGCCUCAGUCCCCUCACAAAACUGAACCCUUCAUCUCAGCCUCAUGACGGUGUGAGUCCAAAUACUAUGAAAUCGCGUCCAGAAAUCUGCGAAAAUCUCGCAGCACAAUUUUACCACCAGGUCCAAAAGAAGCAAGCUGAGAUCACUCCCAAGAAGAUCUCAGAGUAUCAAAUAAUUGAGCUAGAGGAGAAUGUUUGUAAUCUGAAGAAAGCUGAGGCGGAUUGGAUUUUAUAGGUAGGUGUUGUGGAACAAGGAAAUAAGUUGGAGCUAGUGGAACAAGACUCUGAAGGACAAUGCAAUUUAGAGUGCAAAACAAUUGAGCGGGCUUGACAAGAGGUGGUAUAAAGGUGGACUUGAGUUUGAUGUUAUGUUUGGGUGAGGUUGCAGGUUAAGAUACUACCAUGUAAAGCCAAAAGGGAUGUUUAACAGCUUCUAAAUUGUGGCAUUCAUGUGGAUUUUGUCACUGUCCAAAUGAUUCUGUUUGGUUUUUGGCUCUUUUUACAUUAUUUUGGAUACCACACUUAGCAUUAUGAUCAAAUCACUGUUUGAUCAUAUUCUAGGACAUGGGAUAUUCUGAUAUUGAUGUUGCUGAAUAUCUAUAUAGCUCCAAGCCACAACUUGAUUCAUUGGUCAACUUUUUAUGUAAAGACCUUACUAAAGCAUGCAGUACCAAGCCACCUCCAAGAUAACCUUUUGUGGCCAAGUCAUCCAAAGAGGCAAAAAUGGAAAGAUAUUGAAAUCUAUGCAGGUGAUCAUUUUGUCAUUGCUUUGGCUUUCUCAAAAGAGCCUUCCGCUAUAAUAUAGGAUUUGUAACCAAGAGUUAUGGUGGGUAAAUCUAAAGACAAUGUAUUUGAGAACUUGGUUGUAAACAUUACUCUCUUGAUUGUAAAUAUUUUGUACUUGAGAAUGAAUAAGCAGUUUCAGUUUUGCAUUUUAUCUUCAUGUGGUAGUUUUGCACAGUGGUACUUUUAUCUUUCCUAACAGAUGAAUAUGUCCUAUUUUGAUUUGUAUCCAUCAAAAUGGUAAGCACAUGGUGACUUGCCCUUAGUUAAAAAAAGGCCACUCAAUGGAGCAGCCAUCUAUCAUUCAUUUAUUACUGGAAAUUGUAAGAAAUGGUAAAUUGAUUCCAUCACAAAAAACCAAUACACUAAAGAUUGUACUGAAUCAAAAUGGUAAAC